rnacentral:lncRNA from 1 species
GCGAUUAAUCCAUGUUGCAAGAAGCACACCAUCCAAGUAAGAUUAACAUAUAAAUAAAACAUUAAAUUCUAUUAUCCGUUGUUAAUAAAGCUUUUGUGAGGACUAGCCUUAUCGGAGCGGCCCGCGCCAACUGAGAACCUGAAGGCCUCUUUCCAGUCGGUGAACCAUGGCGAAGGAAGAGGAAGAGUUCUCCUCCACCACAGAUUCUACC